AAACCUAUCUGAACCCUGGAUCUAACAGGUGGAUCUACUCAGACAUGAAAACAGAAAUCAUAGAUGAAUAGAUAGAAAAACUGAAAUGAAAUAGAUAAAUAAAAUCAAAGGAGUUCCAGGAGGACUCUGAUAGGAGUUCCUCCCUUCUCUCCUCUAAGAGAAAUAAUGAAACAGAAAUCGUAAAGAAGUCUGCUGUCAACAAUGGCUUAGAAAACAGUAAAAUAGGGUUUCUGAUCGUCUAAGGGCAUUUUGAUAAUUUUUGGCUUCUGGGCUUCACGCAGUCAUAAUAUAUACAAGGCCCACGAUCUGGGAUCUCCAUCGAUCGAUGUGCAGAGUGCUGCAUCGAUCGGCGUGGCUUCCUCUUCUCGGCAGCUUCUUCUCGCGAGGCAGACUGACCCCUAUUUAGGAAAACGGACAUGACGUCUGCUACAGGAUGCUGAUUGACCUGAGACCGGUGGCAUUGGAAAGCUAACUCAAAUCUCUAUCGUUUGUCAAAAUAUGGGCUCAAUCUAACGGUCGGAAGGUCUCCAUCCAUAGCUAAACAUCUGACGUGUCUGUACAACUCUGCACCUCCAAAGCUCCAAAAGACUCUAAAAUCACCAUAUUUUUCCUAAACGUCCCUGAACCUGUAAAUACUCUAAAUAGACUCCAAAACAUAAUAAUUGUAUCUUAAAACACUUUAAAACACUUAUAGACUAUGAUUAAAAAUGGGUAAAAUAUAUGGUCUAUAAUCUGAGAAUCUCAAAAUUUUCAUAGCUUGCCUCAGAAAAGACCACUCCACCCGGUCAUACGCCUUGGAGAUAUCAGUUUUAACAACAAUGAAUUCCUCUGAGCAUUUGUUAUUGGAGUUUAAAGCAUGGAGAAGCUCAUGAGAUAGCAGGAUAUUAUCCUGAAUUUUCUGCCUUCUAUAAAGGCAGCCUGAGUUUCGGAAAUGAUCAAUGGAAGAAUCUUCUUCAACCUUUUUGCCAAAAUCUUUGAUAUUUUCUUAAAGGCAACGCUACAAAGGCUGAUCGGUCUAAAAUCAAGCAUAUUUUCAUUAAGCUUCUUAGGUAUCAAGUAGAAAUUCAUCUUUUUAAACGCUCUUCAAGCUUUCCAGACCAAAAAACUCUCGAACCAUCUCUGUGAUAUUUUCUCCCACUGAUUCCCAAAAGUGUUGAUAAAAGAACGUGCUCAUACCGUCCGGACCAGGACAUUUUUGGGGAUUUGUUUCAAAGAUCGCGCGUCUCACCUCCUCCCUCGUAACCUCUUGCAACAGCUCCUCGUUCUAAACCUGGGAGACUUUUGGGGGCACACAUCUCCAUUCCUGCAUUUCCAAACCUAAGUCCUCCGAAGCAAACAUAGCUUUGAAGUAGUCUUCUGCUACUCUUCACAAGUCCUCUUCUUCGAACCACUCUCUCCCCUCCGCAUCCACGAGACUAUGGAUUUUAUUCUGAGCCCUUAUAUUAUUUGUGAUAGCGUGAAAUAAUUUUGUGCUCCUAUCUCCUGCCUUCAACCAAUCAAGUAUGCUCUUUUGCUUCUAAAAAUUUCUUCGUUAUAAUAUUCUUCAUUUAACUCCUUCCUCAAUUGACUCAGCAGACCUGGCUCGUAAAGCAUUUGGUGAGACGCUUCAUCUAAUCUGUGAUGAAGUUCCUGAAUCCUGAUUUCUGAGUUAAGUUUUGCACUUCUCUUCCAAGUCAAUAUGGCCUCCCUACACCCUGCAAUGUUUUGCAUAAUGCUUGACUGACUAGAGAUACCACUAUUCCAACUCCUUUUAAUCACCUCCUACAAAAUUCUUUCCUUAUCCAGUGUCGAUCAUAUUUAAAGUUUUCUUUCCUUCUCUACUCAACCCCAUCGAGGAAAUUCAUUAAAUGGCUGUGAUCUGAACAACCCCAUCUUGUUGUUGCGCUUGGAAAGAGGUUCAUCCAGUACUGGUCUGCAACUUUUUUCUUCUUCUUUGUUUACCAAAGUCCAAAAUACAAAAUAAACGAGAGUUAAAAGUUGGAUGGUAUUAUGGACACAAUUUGUAAGUCUAAAAUCAAUUCACUAGGGAAACUUAUAUUAACCCAAACAUAAAAGUAUAUGAUAAAAAAUUUUAAUAAACCAAACUCGAGACCAUAUUCGCUGGGCAUGGAGACAAUUACGUAUAAAUGAUAAUUUCCUUAUUAAAAGAAUGAAUUAAAUACUAACUUAAUAUUGUAUGCUUAAAUAUCUAAUAUAAUUGCAUUGAUACACAAUUCGGUAUGAGGUAAAUAUGAAAAAUUUAUAUUUAAGAUGUAAAACAGGACCAACUAUCUGAUUUUGAUAUCGAUGAUUUUCAUUGUAGUACAAGAACCACGUUUGUAAACUAUCUAGGAUUUAGUAAUUUGAAUUAAGGGUGUUCAAUUUGGUAAAAACCGGACCAACUAAAACCAAACCAAAUCGAAAUAGAAAAAGUAGUUUGAUUCGGUAACACUGUAUAAACCGAAUAUGUGUUAUUUCUAGAAACCAUAGUAUAUAUAUAUAUGGUUCAAUAUAUAAACCGAUCAAAUCAUAUAAACAGAAUAAAUUGAUUAAUUAAACUAUAGUAGUAUAGUUUUAUGUAAAUUACAUAAUAUAAUUAUAUACAUGUAGAUUAUUUUAUUUAUAUAAUCUUGAUAUUUAAGACGUUAAUUUGGAUAAUUGACAUAUAUUUGUCUUACAUUUAGUAUACUAGGAGCAUAGCCCCUGCACAAGGGCGGGGCCAGAUAUGUUGUUGAUGCGUUGUGUAGUUUUGUGUACUGAAUUUUGUCAUUUUCUUUUUUAUAAACUUUUGUUUUUUCUGUGUUGUCUGUAAUGGUGAUAAAUGGAACAUUGGAAGUCACACAGGUUGAUUAGGUUGAUAUAAGAAUGACCGGCAAAUUCAUAUGUGUUGAUAUUUUUUAUAUCUUAUCUUUGUAAUGAUUUGACUGACCAUUAGCGUUAUUAGCGCUUUCAUGUUAAAAAGCUGAGGUUUACGGGAUUGGAAAGUGUUAAUUUAGGUAGUUGUUAGUAUAUAAAUCAAAUAGUGUAAAAAAAGAUAUAAAAUUCGGAUAUAAAAUUUAACAAUUAUACAAACAAUAAUUAAAUUAUUUUCUUAUUUUACCCAAAAUUAAUUUUAAAAAUAAAGAAUUGUGAUAAAAAAAUUUUAAUUAAUAACUCUACAAAGUUAUAAAAUUAUAUAGUUACAAAAUUAUUUAUUUUUAGAAUUUUUACUGGACUUUGUUAUCAUAUAGAAUAUAAGUCGAAUAUAUAGUUUUUAUUGGACUUUGUUAUCACGUUAACUGUCUUUCGUUAGGAGUAUAUGAUAUCAUAUAUGAUUGCUAAUAUGCUAAUCCAACUUUAGGAGUUUGUUUGCAACUAAAGUUGUAGUUAUUUGUUUGUGCAAAGCCACUGGAUGGGCAGUUAAAAAUGAAGAUGAUGUUCUUGAAUUGUCUUUUGAGUUUUUGUACUUGGACUAUAUUUUUUAAUUAAGAGUGGCUGAGUGAAUACAUUGGUGGAAAUAACAUGAGUUUUUUUGUAGUUGGGCUGUUUUUGUGGCCUCUAAUUUAUAUGAUCGGAUUUGUGUCGGUUAACGUAGUAAACCUAGUCAUGACAACAAUUGCAGUUCAUGGGGUUGCAUUUCAUGGGAAUUUUCUAUUAUGUCUAAGGCGAGUGUUAAUUAGGAUUUUAAUCCUACAUGUACUAUAAAAUUUUUUAAGAACUCGUAAUUUAUCACUUAAGAAUUGUUAUGCAUCCACUUUAAAAAGAAUCUAUAUCUAUAUAUAUCUAUCUAUAUAUCUAUCUAUAUAUAUAAAAAUAUGUUUGCAUCUCUCAUGUGAUGCCACUUCAGCGCCAUGUCAAUAAGUCGAGUGUUCUGGUCGUGACACGUGUCCCGCCUUGCAAAACGCAUCAUUUCAUUUAUUUGGAAAAUUGAGGGGCUUUAGUCAUUACGCAAUAUGAAAUCGAAUGGGCUUUGUUUGAAGUGUCUUGGGCACGACGUGGCAAGUCGAAAUCUCUUUUAUGUUUCGUUGAUAUCUCUAAUAAUGGAUUUCCAUAAUAUCUCUAUAUAUAAAAAUAUGUUUGCCUCUCUCCUGUGAUGCCAUGUCAGCGCCAUGUCAAUAAGUCGAGUGUUCUGGUCGUGACACGUGUCCCGCCUUGCAAAAUGCAUCAUUUCAUUUAUUUGGAAAAUUGAGGGGCUUUAGUCAUUACGCAAUAUGAAAUCGAAUGGGCUUUGUUUGAAGUGUCUUGGGCACGACGUGGCAAGCCGAAAUCUCUUUUAUGUUUUGUUGAUAUCUCUAAUAAUGGAUUUCUAUAAUAACUAAACCAAAUAACAGGUCCAUACGUCACAAGCCCAUAUGGAACAUAUUUACCGCCUUAAAAAUAAUGCAUUUAAGUCUUUACCCCAUUUUUCCCACUCUCGCACAUUUAAAAACCUUAUUUAUUGAUUAAAAAACGCAUGAAAACUUGAUCUAUAAAUAAGGUUUUCUUAUUCCAUGAAAUGCAUCGCUUCCAACAAAUCAAUCUUCACAUUCUCUUUGACGCAAGAACACCAAGAUGGCCAAUACGAACCUUCUCCUUGCCUACUUGAAAGCUUGCCGACGGCAACUUGCAAAUACCGAUCUACUUCCUCACGUUCUGAAAAAAUGGUUUCUCUUUUGUUUUUUAAAGGUUGUUGAAUAUGUAGGACCUUAAAUUACAAAGGGACACAAUCUGAAUAAUUGUGAGAUAGAUUAUAAAAACAUUGAAUAAAUCCAGAAAUACCAUGGAUUAAUCGAAAUGGACAAUGAGUUUUUGCAGAGUCGAGACUUAGGAAUCUCUUUCCUUAACUCAAAAAAGGCCCCGUAGUGUGACGGUUGUAUAGCGAUUAGAGUCCCAGGAUAAAACUGCAUCUUUCUUCUAUUCACAGCACUUGAAUAAGAAGUCUAGCAAACCUUCAUUCUGUGUGUACUCUCAUUGAAAAGAGAAAAAAAAAAUAAAGAGAAGAAGUGGAAGAGAUUGUCGUUGUUCACUUUUUUCAUCGUAUGUGUUAGUGGAAUGAGAUAUAAAGGUGCCAACACGUCACUCUAAUGUUUUAGUAAUUACCUUUAGAUCAGGCUUUGUUUUCUUAAAUGAUUGUCUUUCAAGUGUUUUUCUUUAUUUCUGCAGGAUGAAAAGAAGUGUAUAGCCGGCAGUUUUUGUGACAUGCUCUUCAUAGCACCGUCAGACAGGAGCUAACGUUCAGAAUUUAAAAGAAACAAAACUUUAUCAUAUUCUUUUACUUCAUAGUGGAUGAGUAUUAAGUUAGCUGUGAUGGUAUGUAAGGUUACUUGACUCCAUGUUCAGGGGAGACUCGCCUGCCUAUAUUCAAGCCCCCAAUGGAGGGUCUGGAGGACAUCUUGACCAACCAAGUCAUGUGAGAUCACUGACCUAGAUCACAGGUUUCUUCUAAUGGAAAGAAUGUACUCAACUCAUCGAAUGAUACUUUGAAGAUAUAAAAAAAACAACAUCUAAUAUUUUACUUGAAGAUCAUAAUACUCCGGAGAAGAUACUAUUUUUUAUGUUUAUAUUUUAUUUUUUCUGACAUUAUAUGUUACACAACAAUUCUUUAGAUCAAUCUAUUGAACCAUUACUUU